rnacentral:rRNA from 1 species
GGGGAAUAUUGCGCAAUGGGGGAAACCCUGACGCAGCAACGCCGCGUGAAGGAAGAAGGUCUUCGGAUUGUAAACUUUUGUCUUAUGGGAAGAAUAAAUUACGGUACCAUAGGAGGAAGUCACGGCUAACUACGUGCCAGCAGCCGCGGUAAUACGAAGGGGGCUAGCGUUGUUCGGAAUUACUGGGCGUAAAGCGCACGUAGGCUGACUUUUAAGUCAGGGGUGAAAUCCCGGGGCUCAACCUCGGAACUGCCUUUGACACUGGAAGUCUUGAGUCCGAGAGAGGUGAGUGGAACUCCGAGUGUAGAGGUGAAAUUCGUAGAUAUUCGGAAGAACACCAGUGGCGAAGGCGGCUCACUGGCUCGGUACUGACGCUGAGGUGCGAAAGCGUGGGGAGCAAACA